CAAUAGCGUAUAUUAAAGUUGUUGCAGUUAGAACGCUCGUAGUCGGAUUUCGGGGCGGGCCGACCGGUCUGCCGAUGGGUAUGCACUGGUCGGCGCGUCCUUCCUUCCGGAGACCGUCCCUACUCUUAACUGAGCGGGGGCGGGAGACGGGACUUUUACUUUGAAAAAAUCAGAGUGUUUCAAGCAGGCAGCUCGCUCUUGCAUGGAUUAGCAUGGGAUAAUGAAAUAGGACUUUGGUGCUAUUUUGUUGGUUUCGAACACCGAAGUAAUGAUGAGAAGGGACUGUCAGAGGCACUCGUAUUCCGCCGAGAGAGGUGAAAUUCUCAGACCAGCGGAAGACGAACCACUGCGAAAGCAUUUGCCAGGGAUGUUUUCACUGA
rnacentral:rRNA from 1 species